UAUAUUCACCAAUCAUCAUUUUUCAUUAUUAAUUGGCCGUAUACAAAAUAAUUAGAAAUAAAAAAUUUACAAG
rnacentral:sRNA from 1 species